rnacentral:rRNA from 1 species
UACGGGAGGCAGCAGUGGGGAAUAUUGCACAAUGGGCGCAAGCCUGAUGCAGCCAUGCCGCGUGUAUGAAGAAGGCCUUCGGGUUGUAAAGUACUUUCAGCGGGGAGGAAGGGAGUAAGUUAAUACCUUUGCUCAUUGACGUUACCCGAUAGAAGCACCGGCUAACUCCGUGCCAGCAGCCGCGGUAAUA